rnacentral:rRNA from 1 species
UACGUAGGCAGCAAGCGUUGUUCGGAAUUACUGGGCGUAAAGCGUGCGCAGGCGGUGAUGUAAGACCGAUGUGAAAUCCCCGGGCUUAACCUGGGAACUGCAUUGGUGACUGCAUUGCUAGAGUGUGGCAGAGGAAGGUGGAAUUCCACGUGUAGCAGUGAAAUGCGUAGAGAUGUGGAGGAACACCGAUGGCGAAGGCAGCCCCCUGGGUCAAGAUUGACGCUCAUGCACGAAAGCGUGGGGAGCAAACAGG